AGAGUUUGAUCAUGGCUCAGGACGAACGCUGGCGGCGUGCCUAACACAUGCAAGUCGAGCGGGGAUUAGCGUAAGAUUUAUCUUGUGCGAAAUCCUAGCGGCGGACGGGUGAGUAACGCGUGAGCAACCUACCUGUCAGAGGGGGAUAACACAUCGAAAGGUGUGCUAAUACCGCAUGAAGUAUAGUUGCCGCAUGGUAAUUAUACCAAAGCGAAUAAGUGCUGACAGAUGGGCUCGCGUCCCAUUAGCUAGUUGGUAGGGUAAAGGCCUACCAAGGCGACGAUGGGUAGCCGACCUGAGAGGGUGGACGGCCACAUUGGGACUGAGACACGGCCCAGACUCCUACGGGAGGCAGCAGUGGGGAAUAUUGCGCAAUGGGGGGAACCCUGACGCAGCAACGCCGCGUGAAGGAAGAAGGCCUUCGGGUUGUAAACUUUUGUCUUUUGGGAAGAAGGAAUGACGGUACCAAAGGAGGAAGCCACGGCUAACUACGUGCCAGCAGCCGCGGUAAUACGUAGGUGGCGAGCGUUGUCCGGAAUUACUGGGUGUAGAGGGUGCGUAGGCGGGAAUGCAAGUCAGAUGUGAAAUACCGGGGCUCAACCCCGGGGCUGCAUUUGAAACUGCAUAUCUUGAGUGCAGGAGAGGGAAGCGGAAUUCCUAGUGUAGCGGUGAAAUGCGUAGAGAUUAGGGAGGAACACCAGUGGCGAAGGCGGCUUUCUGGACUGUAACUGACGCUGAGGCACGAAAGCGUGGGGAGCGAACAGGAUUAGA
rnacentral:rRNA from 1 species